AAUAGAUACCCGGGUAGUCCACGCCGUAAACGAUGUCGACUUGGAGGUUGUUCCCUUGAGGAGUGGCUUCCGGAGCUAACGCGUUAAGUCGACCGCCUGGGGAGUACGGCCGCAAGGUUAAAACUCAAAUGAAUUGACGGGGGCCCGCACAAGCGGUGGAGCAUGUGGUUUAAUUCGAUGCAACGCGAAGAACCUUACCUACUCUUGACAUCCACGGAACUUUUCAGAGAUGAAUUGGUGCCUUCGGGAACCGUGAGACAGGUGCUGCAUGGCUGUCGUCAGCUCGUGUUGUGAAAUGUUGGGUUAAGUCCCGCAACGAGCGCAACCCUUAUCCUUUGUUGCCAGCGGUUCGGCCGGGAACUCAAAGGAGACUGCCAGUGAUAAACUGGAGGAAGGUGGGGAUGACGUCAAGUCAUCAUGGCCCUUACGAGUAGGGCUACACACGUGCUACAAUGGCGCAUACAAAGAGAAGCGACCUCGCGAGAGCAAGCGGACCUCAUAAAGUGCGUCGUAGUCCGGAUUGGAGUCUGCAACUCGACU
rnacentral:rRNA from 1 species